rnacentral:rRNA from 1 species
CCUACGGGAGGCAGCAGUGGGGAAUAUUGGGCAAUGGAGGAAACUCUGACCCAGCGACGCCGCGUGCGGGAUGAAGGCCUUCGGGUUGUAAACCGCUUUCAGUAGGGAAGAAGCGAAAGUGACGGUACCUACAGAAGAAGCACCGGCUAACUAUGUGCCAGCAGCCGCGGUAAUACAUAGGGUGCAAGCGUUGUCCGGAAUUAUUGGGCGUAAAGAGCUCGUAGGUGGUUCGUCACGUCGGAUGUGAAAAUCUGGGGCUCAACCCCAGACCUGCAUUCGAUACGGGCGAUCUAGAGUGUGGUAGGGGAGACUGGAAUUCCUGGUGUAGCGGUGGAAUGCGCAGAUAUCAGGAGGAACACCAAUGGCGAAGGCAGGUCUCUGGGCCAUUACUGACACUGAGGAGCGAAAGCGUGGGGAGCGAACAGGAUUAGAUACCCUGGUAGUCCACGCCGUAAACGGUGGGCACUAGUUGUGGGAACCUUCCACGGUUUCUGCGACGCAGCUAACGCAUAAGUGCCCCGCCUGGGGAGUACGAUCGCAAGAUUAAAACNCAAAUGAUUAGAGNGUUGAGAGNGCGAGCGACACGAGGAGAG